rnacentral:rRNA from 1 species
UACGGAGGGUCCAAGCGUUAUCCGGAAUCAUUGGGUUUAAAGGGUCCGUAGGCGGUUUUGUAAGUCAGUGGUGAAAGCCCAUCGCUCAACGGUGGAACGGCCAUUGAUACUGCAAGACUUGAAUUAUUAGGAAGUAACUAGAAUAUGUAGUGUAGCGGUGAAAUGCUUAGAGAUUACAUGGAAUACCAAUUGCGAAGGCAGGUUACUACUAAUUGAUUGACGCUGAUGGACGAAAGCGUGGGGAGCGAACAGG